rnacentral:tRNA from 1 species
GGAAGCGUGGCCGAGUGGUUUAGGGAACCGGUCUUAAUAACCAGCGACGGGGCAAUCCGUCCGUGGGUUCGAAUCCCACCUCUUCCG